GGCGAACGCUGGCGGCGUGCUUAACACAUGCAAGUCGAACGGUGAAGCGCCUUCCUCUUUGGCUGGUGGGGAUGAGUGGCGAACGGGGGAGUAACACGUGAGUAACCUGCUCUCUUCUGCUGGAUAACCGCAUGAAAGUGUGGCUAAUACGGGAUAUUCUGGGUCGGUCGCAUGAUGGGUCUGGGAAAGAUAUUGUUUCGGUGGGGGAUGGGCUCGCGGCGUAUCAGCUUGUUGGUGGGGAGAUGGCCUACCAAGGCGGUGACGGGGAGCCGGCUGGAGGGGGUGGCAGCUACACUGGGGAUUGGACCCCGGCCAGGCCUCUUCGGGGAGCCAGAAGUGGGGAUUAUUGACCAAUGGGGGAAAGCCUAAUGCGGCGACGCGGCGUGAGGGAUGGGGGCCUUGGGGUUGUAAGCCCCUUUGGCGAGUGAAGAAGGCAUGACUCGUUUGUGCGUGUGUUGACGGUAGCUGGAUAAGAAACGCCGGCUAAAUCCGCG
rnacentral:rRNA from 1 species